GGUUAAGCGACUAAGCGUACACGGUGGAUGCCCUGGCAGUCAGAGGCGAUGAAGGACGUGCUAAUCUGCGAUAAGCGUCGGUAAGGUGAUAUGAACCGUUAUAACCGGCGAUUUCCGAAUGGGGAAACCCAGUGUGUUUCGACACACUAUCAUUAACUGAAUCCAUAGGUUAAUGAGGCGAACCGGGGGAACUGAAACAUCUAAGUACCCCGAGGAAAAGAAAUCAACCGAGAUUCCCCCAGUAGCGGCGAGCGAACGGGGAGCAGCCCAGAGCCUGAAUCAGUGUGUGUGUUAGUGGAAGCGUCUGGAAAGGCGCGCGAUACAGGGUGACAGCCCCGUACACAAAAAUGCACAUGCUGUGAGCUCGAUGAGUAGGGCGGGACACGUGGUAUCCUGUCUGAAUAUGGGGGGACCAUCCUCCAAGGCUAAAUACUCCUGACUGACCGAUAGUGAACCAGUACCGUGAGGGAAAGGCGAAAAGAACCCCGGCGAGGGGAGUGAAAAAGAACCUGAAACCGUGUACGUACAAGCAGUGGGAGCCUCUUUUAUGGGGUGACUGCGUACCUUUUGUAUAAUGGGUCAGCGACUUAUAUUCUGUAGCAAGGUUAACCGAAUAGGGGAGCCGAAGGGAAACCGAGUCUUAACUGGGCGUUAAGUUGCAGGGUAUAGACCCGAAACCCGGUGAUCUAGCCAUGGGCAGGUUGAAGGUUGGGUAACACUAACUGGAGGACCGAACCGACUAAUGUUGAAAAAUUAGCGGAUGACUUGUGGCUGGGGGUGAAAGGCCAAUCAAACCGGGAGAUAGCUGGUUCUCCCCGAAAGCUAUUUAGGUAGCGCCUCGUGAAUUCAUCUCCGGGGGUAGAGCACUGUUUCGGCAAGGGGGUCAUCCCGACUUACCAACCCGAUGCAAACUGCGAAUACCGGAGAAUGUUAUCACGGGAGACACACGGCGGGUGCUAACGUCCGUCGUGAAGAGGGAAACAACCCAGACCGCCAGCUAAGGUCCCAAAGUCAUGGUUAAGUGGGAAACGAUGUGGGAAGGCCCAGACAGCCAGGAUGUUGGCUUAGAAGCAGCCAUCAUUUAAAGAAAGCGUAAUAGCUCACUGGUCGAGUCGGCCUGCGCGGAAGAUGUAACGGGGCUAAACCAUGCACCGAAGCUGCGGCAGCGACACUAUGUGUUGUUGGGUAGGGGAGCGUUCUGUAAGCCUGUGAAGGUGUACUGUGAGGUAUGCUGGAGGUAUCAGAAGUGCGAAUGCUGACAUAAGUAACGAUAAAGCGGGUGAAAAGCCCGCUCGCCGGAAGACCAAGGGUUCCUGUCCAACGUUAAUCGGGGCAGGGUGAGUCGACCCCUAAGGCGAGGCCGAAAGGCGUAGUCGAUGGGAAACAGGUUAAUAUUCCUGUACUUGGUGUUACUGCGAAGGGGGGACGGAGAAGGCUAUGUUGGCCGGGCGACGGUUGUCCCGGUUUAAGCGUGUAGGCUGGUUUUCCAGGCAAAUCCGGAAAAUCAAGGCUGAGGCGUGAUGACGAGGCACUACGGUGCUGAAGCAACAAAUGCCCUGCUUCCAGGAAAAGCCUCUAAGCAUCAGGUAACAUCAAAUCGUACCCCAAACCGACACAGGUGGUCAGGUAGAGAAUACCAAGGCGCUUGAGAGAACUCGGGUGAAGGAACUAGGCAAAAUGGUGCCGUAACUUCGGGAGAAGGCACGCUGAUAUGUAGGUGAAGUCCCUCGCGGAUGGAGCUGAAAUCAGUCGAAGAUACCAGCUGGCUGCAACUGUUUAUUAAAAACACAGCACUGUGCAAACACGAAAGUGGACGUAUACGGUGUGACGCCUGCCCGGUGCCGGAAGGUUAAUUGAUGGGGUCAGCGCAAGCGAAGCUCUUGAUCGAAGCCCCGGUAAACGGCGGCCGUAACUAUAACGGUCCUAAGGUAGCGAAAUUCCUUGUCGGGUAAGUUCCGACCUGCACGAAUGGCGUAAUGAUGGCCAGGCUGUCUCCACCCGAGACUCAGUGAAAUUGAACUCGCUGUGAAGAUGCAGUGUACCCGCGGCAAGACGGAAAGACCCCGUGAACCUUUACUAUAGCUUGACACUGAACAUUGAGCCUUGAUGUGUAGGAUAGGUGGGAGGCUUAGAAGUGUGGACGCCAGUCUGCAUGGAGCCGACCUUGAAAUACCACCCUUUAAUGUUUGAUGUUCUAACGUUGACCCGUGAUCCGGGUUGCGGACAGUGUCUGGUGGGUAGUUUGACUGGGGCGGUCUCCUCCUAAAGAGUAACGGAGGAGCACGAAGGUUGGCUAAUCCUGGUCGGACAUCAGGAGGUUAGUGCAAUGGCAUAAGCCAGCUUGACUGCGAGCGUGACGGCGCGAGCAGGUGCGAAAGCAGGUCAUAGUGAUCCGGUGGUUCUGAAUGGAAGGGCCAUCGCUCAACGGAUAAAAGGUACUCCGGGGAUAACAGGCUGAUACCGCCCAAGAGUUCAUAUCGACGGCGGUGUUUGGCACCUCGAUGUCGGCUCAUCACAUCCUGGGGCUGAAGUAGGUCCCAAGGGUAUGGCUGUUCGCCAUUUAAAGUGGUACGCGAGCUGGGUUUAGAACGUCGUGAGACAGUUCGGUCCCUAUCUGCCGUGGGCGCUGGAGAACUGAGGGGGGCUGCUCCUAGUACGAGAGGACCGGAGUGGACGCAUCACUGGUGUUCGGGUUGUCAUGCCAAUGGCACUGCCCGGUAGCUAAAUGCGGAAGAGAUAAGUGCUGAAAGCAUCUAAGCACGAAACUUGCCCCGAGAUGAGUUCUCCCUGACUCCCUGAGAGUCCUGAAGGAACGUUGAAGACGACGACGUUGAUAGGCCGGGUGUGUAAGCGCAGCGAUGCGUUGAGCUAACCGGUACUAAUGAACCGUGAGGCUUAACCUU
rnacentral:rRNA from 1 species